GACGAACGCUGGCGGCGUGCUUAACACAUGCAAGUCGGACGCUGAAGCUCAGCUUGCUGGGUGGAUGAGUGGCGAACGGGUGAGUAACACGUGAGUAAACUGCCCUCUUCUUUGGGAUAACGCCUGAAAACGGGUGCUAAUUAUGGAUAUUCACUGACUCACGCAAGGGUGAUGGUGGAAAGGUUUUUUCUGGUGGGGGAUGGGUUCGCGGCCUAUCAGCUUGCUGGUCGGGUGGUGGCCUUCCCAGGCUUGGACGGGUAGUCGGCCAGAGUGGGUGACCGGUCACAUAGGGACUGCGGUACGGCCCAGACUGCUACGGGAGGCAGAAGUGGGGAAGAUGGAGCAAUGGGCGAAAGCCUAAUGCAGCGGCGACGCUGGUGGAAUGGUGGCCUGUGGGUUGUAAACCUCUUUCGCUCAUGGUCAAGCCGCAGCUUUGGGUUGUGGGGCGGGAAGUGGGUAAAGAAGCGCCGGCUAACUACGU
rnacentral:rRNA from 1 species